GCCGGGCGUGGUGUCACAUGUCUGUAGUCCCAGCUUCUCACGAGGCUGAGAUGGGAGGAUCAUUUUGGGUCCAGGAGUUCUGGGCUGUAAUGCGCUGUGCCUAUGGGUGUCCACACUAAGUUUGGCAUCAAUAUGGUGACCUCCUGGGAGCAGGGGACCACCAGGUUGCCUAAGAAGGGGUGAACCGGCCUAGGUCAGAAACAGGGCAGGUCAAAAUCCCAGUGCUGAUGAGUAGCAGGAUCCUUCGCCUGUUGAACAGCUAGGUUUUCUUGCACUCCAGACUGGGCCAACAUAGUGAGACCCAUCUCCU
rnacentral:SRP_RNA from 1 species